GUGUCAGCAGCCGCGGUAAUACGUAGGGGGCAAGCGUUGUCCGGAAUUAUUGGGCGUAAAGCGCGCGCAGGCGGUUUUUUAAGUCUGGGGUUUAAUUGCAGGGCUCAACCCUGUAUCGCCUCGGAAACUGGGAGACUGGAGUGUAGGAGAGGGAAGUGGAAUUCCACGUGUAGCGGUGAAAUGCGUAGAGAUGUGGAGGAACACCAGUGGCGAAGGCGACUUCCUGGCCUAUAACUGACGCUGAGGCGCGAAAGCGUGGGGAGCAAACAGGAUUAGAUACCCUGGUAGUCC
rnacentral:rRNA from 1 species